AGGGCACCACCAGGAGUGGAGCCUGCGGCUUAAUUUGACUCAACACGGGGAAACUCACCCGGCCCGGACACCGGAAGGAUUGACAGAUUGAUAGCUCUUUCUUGAUUCGGUGGAUGGUGGUGCAUGGCCGUUCUUAGUUGGUGGAGCGAUCUGUCUGGUUAAUUCCGAUAACGAACGAGACUCUAGCCUAUUAAAUAGACGUCGGGUUCUCUGCACUCGACGGUCUUCUUAGAGGGACAAGGUGCUUUUAGCACCGCGAAACAGAGCAAUAACAGGUCUGUGAUGCCCUUAGAUGUCCGGGGCCGCACGCGCGCUACACUGAAGGAAGCAGCGUGUAACAACCUUGUCCUAACGAACUGGGUAACCCGUGGAACUUCCUUCAUGAUUGGGAUAGGGGUUUGCAAUUGUGCCCCUUGAACGAGGAAUUCCCAGUAAACACUAGUCAUCAGCUAGUGCUGAUUACGUCCCUGCCCUUUGUACACACCGCCCGUCGCUACUACCGAUUGAAUGGUUUAGUGA
rnacentral:rRNA from 1 species